rnacentral:rRNA from 1 species
AGAGUUGAUCAUGGCUCAGGAUGAACGCUAGCGACAGGCUAACACAUGCAAGUCGAGGGGCAGCAUAAAAGUAGCAAUACUUGGUGGCGACCGGCGCACGGGUGAGUAACGCGUAUGCAACCUACCUAUCAGAGGGGAAUAACCCGGCGAAAGUCGGACUAAUACCGCAUAAAACAGGGGCACCGCAUGGUGAUAUUUGUUAAAGAAAUUCGCUGAUAGAUGGGCAUGCGUUCCAUUAGGUAGUUGGUGAGGUAACGGCUCACCAAGCCGACGAUGGAUAGGGGAACUGAGAGGUUGGUCCCCCACACUGGUACUGAGACACGGACCAGACUCCUACGGGAGGCAGCAGUGAGGAAUAUUGGUCAAUGGGCGGGAGCCUGAACCAGCCAAGUCGCGUGGAAAAGGAAGAAGGAUCUAUGGUUCGUAAACUUCUUUUGCGAGGGGAAUAAAGUGCAGGACGUGUCCUGUUUUGUAUGUACCCUGAGAAUAAGGAUCGGCUAACUCCGUGCCAGCAGCCGC